GAUGAACGCUGGCGGCGUGCCUAAUACAUGCAAGUCGAGCGAACAGACGAGGAGCUUGCUCCUCUGACGUUAGCGGCGGACGGGUGAGUAAAACGUGGAUAACCUACCUAUAAGACUGGGAUAACUUCGGGAAACCGGAGCUAAUACCGUAUAAUAUAUUGAACCGCAUGGUUCAAUAGUGAAAGACGGUUUUGCUGUCACUUAUAGAUGGAUCCGCGCCGUAUUAGCUAGUUGGUAAGGUAACGGCUUACCAAGGCAACGAUGCGUAGCCGACCUGAGAGGGUGAUCGGCCACACUGGAACUGAGACACGGUCCAGACUCCUACGGGAGGCAGCAGUAGGGAAUCUUCCGCAAUGGGCGAAAGCCUGACGGAGCAACGCCGCGUGAGUGAUGAAGGUCUUCGGAUCGUAAAACUCUGUUAUUAGGGAAGAACAAAUGUGUAAGUAACUAUGCACGUCUUGACGGUACCUAAUCAGAAAGCCACGGCUAACUACGUG
rnacentral:rRNA from 1 species